UGGGCAAGAGCUCAGUGGUACAGCAUCUGCUUUGGAUGCAGAAGGCCCCUGGUUCAAUGCCCUGCUUCUCCAG